rnacentral:lncRNA from 1 species
CUUCUCAGCAUUGACAUGCCUCAGCCUCCGCCCACUCAUAUCCCUACACGCAUCAAAAUUAUUCGUCUUCUUCUGCCCCGCCUUCGUCGCCGCCCCACGGAGGAGCGAACCGAAACCACCCUUGCCGCCGGGAAGAGGCAGAAGAAGGUGCACCGUCGGGAAGAUACCGCUUCCCUUAUCGGCGGAAAUUAGGGUUUCGUCGGAGAUUUGACGCGAUUGCGAAACCAAACGCUGGAGGUGGACAGGGAUCGAUGUGAUACGGUGGAGAUGGCCCUUAAUGACGUCGCCGGAGAUUGUGGGUGAUGUAAGCCGGAUGGUUAGAGUUUUUCCAUCCAGGAGUUUGGCGAAGAGGUGGUAGAUCUCCAUCGUCGGGUCUGUUGGGAAGAUGAGAAAAUUUGACUGGAGAAGGGAGACG